AGCUAGUUGGUAAGGUAACGGCUUACCAAGGCAACGAUGCAUAGCCGACCUGAGAGGGUGAUCGGCCACACUGGAACUGAGACACGGUCCAGACUCCUACGGGAGGCAGCAGUAGGGAAUCUUCCGCAAUGGGCGAAAGCCUGACGGAGCAACGCCGCGUGAGUGAUGAAGGUCUUCGGAUCGUAAAACUCUGUUAUUAGGGAAGAACAUAUGUGUAAGUAACUGUGCACAUCUUGACGGUACCUAAUCAGAAAGCCACGGCUAACUACGUGCCAGCAGCCGCGGUAAUACGUAGGUGGCAAGCGUUAUCCGGAAUUAUUGGGCGUAAAGCGCGCGUAGGCGGUUUUUUAAGUCUGAUGUGAAAGCCCACGGCUCAACCGUGGAGGGUCAUUGGAAACUGGAAAACUUGAGUGCAGAAGAGGAAAGUGGAAUUCCAUGUGUAGCGGUGAAAUGCGCAGAGAUAUGGAGGAACACCAGUGGCGAAGGCGACUUUCUGGUCUGUAACUGACGCUG
rnacentral:rRNA from 1 species